AAAUCAAAGAACUUUUUAUUUGAGUUGUUCGUCAAUAGAAGGAAAAGCUCAACAAAUGUAAUAAACAAUCUAGCUUUAAGAGCAUUGAAAAUUCAUUCUUAAAAAGAAACUGAGAAACCAGCUUAAGACAUAUUACUUAAGCACUAAUUUGCAAAAAAAAAAAUACAAAAAGGUUGAGAGUGUUACCACAAGAGCUAAGACUGGAAAUAGUAGACAUUAAAAGCAUGGUU